AAGUCGUAACAAGGUUUCCGUAGGUGAACCUUCGGAAGGAUCAUUACCGUAACGCGGCGGUCCGGCAACCGCAAGGAAGUCGGCCGCCACACGCGUUUAUCACCCUUGACUUUGAGCACCUUUCGUUUCCUCGGCGGGUUCGCCCGCCAGCGAGGACCCCCACAAACCCUUUGUAAUAGCAAUAUUCGUCUGAAAAACAACCAAUAAUCAAAACUUUCAACAAUGGAUCUCUUGGUUCUG
rnacentral:misc_RNA from 1 species